CACACACACACACACACUAGCCAGCCACCGCGCUGUAUCAUAUCAUCACUAAUGGCACUGACCGAAUCUUCUACCGGACCGAAGUUUUAACUUGUAGGCUAAAUGUCCGUGCCAAGUUACGAUUCCAAUGGAUCGUUGCUGUAGCCUACAGAAAACGUCAUCUUGGUUGUCAAAAAGUUAUAAGAUAAAGGGUUCACACGCAGCGUUCCUGAUGCACAGCAGACAACGUUGCCUCUGUCUGAAAACACGGGACCGUGUGAAUUCCAGUAACAUAGUCCAAUCCACCGUUCAUCAGAGGAGUGCAAUGUGUGACCAUGUGGAGAUAGUGGUGCAGUUGAAAAUACCAUCAACAUAUAUCUGCCUGAAUCCAGACUCUAAAUUGGGCAAGAGAAUACAGACGAAGUGGAACCUGAAGAACUGAGCCAGACAUGAUAACACAAACUAUGUGAUGAUGAUAUAACUGACUGUACUGACCAAAAAGUACAUGUAACUAUGUUGUCUUUCUCUGCAGUUUCAGGUAACUUUAGUUCUUCCACUGACAAUGCAAUUAGAAAGUGUAUUUCAGAGCUACAGGGUAAUGCACAAAGCUCGUAACAACAUUCUAGGAAAUCUCUGCUAUGACAAGGCUGUAACAACAUUCUAGAACAUCUCUGCUAUGACAAGCCUGUAACAACAUUCUAGAACAUCUCUGCUAUGACAAGGCUGUAACAACAUUCUAGAACAUCUCUGCUAUGACAAGCCUGUAACAACAUUCUAGAACAUCUCUGCUAUGACAAGCCUGUAACAACAUUUUCGAAUAUCUCUGCUAUGACAAGCCCGUAACAACAUUCU